rnacentral:lncRNA from 1 species
CAACGACGAGCUCGGGGAGUUGCCGCGUGCCGAUUUCGACACCAACGACGUGCCGCGGAGCCGUUCGAGGGUACGGUUGCAGUCGUAGCGUCGCAGGGAGCUUAGGCGAGGGUGUGUUUUCGCCGUUCUCGAUGUCGCCCCGCGUUGGAUUUAGCAUACGAGGUGGGUUUAUCAUCGGAUUUCUACUCCUAUAGCCUCGUUAGUCAACAUGUAUAGUUAGGAUAUCUGCGUUGGUACUGUUUAGCUCAGAUUCAUGUUUAUUUGUUCUAGGCCUAUAUAUUGAAUUGGGAGCAUCUUACUGUUUGUUAUUAAUUAUACAUGUUGGACUUGGAUAAAACAUAGGAGAAAACCAGUGUUCGAAACCUGUCAUAUGUUAAACUACCUGAUUUAGCCUUAGGGGCCGUUGUUCUUUUAUACAGUUGUAGUGUUCUUGUGGUGAGUACCCCAGGUAGUCUAAUUUACUGUUACACUCGUGCUGGGAUGCCGAGUCUAUUUUUACAGUAGUGUUUAGACUGUUCCGGACUAGUGGGUGCCGUCGCGGUUGACGGUGGAUCCGAAUUUGGUCAUUUUGAGAUCCGAUUGUGCCGAGGGCACGUGACUAGUGGUUAGUAGUCAAUUGGACUUAUUUUCUUGACUUUAGCCUGUAAGAGCCUGAUUGAGCUCGACAGAGAUACGCUUGCAAACUCGGUUGGGUCGCGCCCACGAGUUGCCGCUCCGGAGUCUGGCUUUGUACUUUCGCGUUGAUGUUGCUAUUUUGUUUUGCUAUCCACGGACUGCUUAGUGUGGAGGUAGCGCGGUUUAGAUCACAGGCGGGACGGGUGCGUACACAGUCCCUAUUGAGAUUGGGUCAGAAUUGAUAAUAGACACAGUUGAAUAGUGUAGUGGCAUGUAGCUGUAGAUUGCUUUUCAGCUUUACCUACUAAUUUCGUUUCCUAUUGUAGUCUUAGUGGGUGAGUCGAUGAUUUUGAGGGCGGUACCCACUGAGGACUACUUGUUUUUACAGUAGUUCUCACGCCCAGUUGUUACUUUGUGUUUUGCAGAGCCUGCUGUUCCGGCUGCUGCGUCUUCUGAGGCUGAUCGAGGCAAGGGUGUCGCGAACUAGAGCCCUACCCGACGAGUUGCUGAGAUAGAGGAGGACCAGCUGUAGGUAGUCCUGGUUUACUUUUGAGCUUUUGUACAUACUGAUGCUAGAUCUCGCUGGAGCGAGUACUUUUGUACUUAGUUAUCUUGUAUGUAUAUGAGAUUUGUUCGUUCUACCUGCUUAGUAUCUUUACAGCUCUAUACUACUGGUUGUAGUAUCGUAUGUUCUACGGUUACCGUUACGCUUCGUAUACAGGGAAAUUCUUUGUAUACGGCGGAUUUGUCUGCGUGCUCGAAAAAUGGGUAAUCCGGGACGUGAUAGAUUAAGUUGGUAUCAGAGCUUAGCAUUAGGUCGUUGGGACCUAGAAAACCUAAGUUUGAUAAACCUUAGGAAGGCAAGACGCGAGAGGCGUAAUUUAUUGCGAAAGUCAAUGAUUAAUUGUUCUAACUCCUCCUAGAGUGGGGUGAGUGAUUGAAGGAGUGCCUGUUUUGGCCUGAGAAAUUAUGUUUGUUGCAGACAACAUAAUUUUGGAGGAAAACAUGGACUGCCUUCCAGACUUUCGUUUAUUGGGUCGAGAGUGCUUAUGUUUAUCUGACCCUGCUUUUUUUUUUUUGCAGCUAUGUAUCAUCGUCGAGGCCGACCGUCGACACGGGACCGGGCACAGUUGGCACAGGAUCAUGUGGGACCUUCUUAGAUGCCUAAGCAGGCGGAGCCGAGUGCCCGGCAAGAGCAGGGUGUUCGACCGGAGGCGAGUGCAUCCUCGGGCUUGACUGCACAGUUGGCCGCCCUGACCGAGGUGACGAGGCGGCAGGGGGAGUUGUUGGAGAGGAUGUGUGAGAGGCUAGCUUCGCCCCAGAGUUCAGCACCGAGGGUACCAGAGUCGUCUGUUCCACCUCCGACUACCCCAGUGACAGCACCAGCUGCAGCAGUCCCUCCGCCAACAGCAGUUUCAGUAGCGCCAGUUGCGCCUGCUAAGAGGCCAGUACAGUUGACAGAGGCCGAGCAGGAGCGGUGGACGGAGAGGUUGGCUUGUUUCCGCCAUUUUGAUCCACCAAUUUUCGAUGAUAGUUGCACUGAGGCCUGGGUUUUUGAGGGAUGGGUCAGUGCGAUGGAGAAGUUAUUUGAGAAUCUGUUCAUUCCUGAGGGGGAGCAGGUGUCUUUGGGAGUCCAUUGCUUGGCAGGUGAUGCCCACGCCUAGUGGAGGAGAGUGAGGAGAGAGCAGGGACUGGUGGCGUUGCAGUUGAGAUGGGAUGAGUUCUGUGGAAUACUGUUUGGGAUGUUCUUUCCCAACAGUGUGAAACAGAAGCUCGAUGAGGAUUUGAAGAAGAUCCAGCAGGGGGAUCGUCCACUGCAGGAGUAUAUUCGGGAGUUUACUCGACUCCUGAACUACGUGCCAUUUGUGGCCAAGGACAAGGCACACAGGGUUUAUCUGUUUGAGCAGGGGCUGAGACCCGACAUCUUCAGGUUGGCGCGGACGCAGAGGUCGAGGACUCUGGAUGCGGCUAUAGAGCAGGCUUUAUGGGUGGAGAGAGGUGAGGUAUCACUGCAGGAGAGGACUCAGGCCGUGGGGCAGAGUCGGGACAGGAGCGCCCCUUUUCAGAUUAUGCUAGACAAUCAAGCAGCCGGCGUCCGCCGAGACCUCCACGAUCGCGUUCUCAGAGUCGUGGAUUCUCGGGGCGUCAGCGUUCUGGGGGACCUCGGCAGUAGAGGCAGUCACAGGGGUUACCAUCAUGCGUGAUAUGUGGGGGACCACACUGGGCCCGGCAGUGCGAGCAACAUGAGGGUCGGUGUUUUGGAUGUGGACAGCCAGGGCACAUGAGGUCAGCUUGUCCCCGAGCAGUAUCACCAGCGCCAUCGACCGCUUCAGCAUCAUCAGCACCUCAGCAGUCUUUUGGAGCACCGCAGAGCUACUGCCAGGAGGACAGGGCAUUUGCGCCACGUCAGGGUGAGCGGCGACAGCGGGCUCCGAGUGGCAGGGUCUAUGCAGCCCAUGUGGAGGACUCUAUAGCGGCCGACCAAGUGGUGGCAGGUAUCACUUUGAUUUCUGGCAUUAGAGUUCGUACUCUCUUUGAUACCGGUGCAUCUAAUUCGUUUAUUAGCCGAGCAUUUGCAUUAUUGCAUGGUCUAGAGUUAGGAGCCUUGUCUCAGGCACGAGAUGUGCAGAUCCCAGACCAUGUUUUAUAGGUUGCGUAGUGUUGUUGGUCAUGUCCAGUGCAGUUAGACUCGUGGAUCAUGCCUGCAGACCUGUUGGUGUUAGGGCAGCUGCAGGACUUCGACGUCGUGUUCGGUAUGGAUUGGCUGGCGCGGUACUAUGCUACUAUCGAUUGUGAAGCGAGGACAGUGACGUUCUGCAAGCCAGGCCAGGAGGAGUUUACUUUUAGAGGCUGCAGGAGUACACUGUUUGCCACUUGGAUAUCUUCGGCGAGGGCUCGACAGCUGAUGAGUAGAGGAUGUGUUGUCUUUCUAGCGACUGUUGUUGAGGUAUCUACGGCGGCGCCGGGACUCGAGGAUAUUCCUGUAGUCCGCGAGUUUCCAGAUGUGUUUCCCCUGAGUUGAUGACGAUGCCGCCGGAGAGGGAGAUUGAGUUUGUGAUUGAUGUAGUUCCUGGAACUGCACCAAUCUCAAAGAUACCUUAUCGGAUGGCACCAGCGGAGCUGAGAGAGCUAAAGGCGUAGCUUCAGGAUCUGAUGGAUAAGGAGUAUGUGAGACCCAGUGUAUCGCCUUGGGGAGCGCCGAUAUUAUUUGUAAAGAAAAAGGAUGGGUUGCUCAGGUUGUGCGUAGAUUACCGGGGGCUGAAUAAAGUGACCAUCAAGAACAAGUAUCCACUGUCGCGCAUUGAAGAUUUGUUUGAUCAGUUGCAGGGAUCCUUCGUCUUCUCGAAGAUUGAUCUUCAGUCCGGUUACCACCAGCUGAGGGUGAAGGCCGAGGAUGUUUCCAAAACGGCUUUUCGGACUCGGUACGGGCAUUAUGAGUUUACGGUCAUGCCUUUUGGAUUGACGAAUGCCCCUGCCGCAUUCAUGGAUUUGAUGAACAGGGUGUUCAAGCCGUUCUUGGAUAGAUUUGUGGUAGUCUUCAUUGAUGAUAUUCUGAUUUGUUAGGUCCUAUGUGUUGGCAAGUUUUGUGGGUCGAGUUGGAGUCUUGAAGAAGUCCGGAGCGGAGUAUUGAAGAUCGAAGAAUCCAAGACUUCGAAGAAUCGGAAAGGACGCAAAACACGUAAAACAUGAAUCACGAUGCUUAGGUAAGCUUUAAAUCAUGUUUAUGGUGAUUCAUACUUAAUUAUAGAUUUUAGAAUCAUGUUUUCAAGUUGUAAUUGAUUAGAAAGUUUCUAAGAGCUUGUAUAACUCGAAACAAUGCAUUUUCAGAGAAAAUUGCAUUAUUGUACCGGUACAAGGGUUUUUUGUCCAGGGUACAGACAUCAGCGUUUGCGCAGAAGUGUUUGAUGGUUGUUCCGGUACAACCAUCACGGCUGUACCGGUACAAGCCCUGUUCCGGAACAAGCUGCAACCUGUUCAGGGUACAGAAGCUUCGCAGAAAAAUCUUCCGUCAUGCUGUACCCUGGACAGCUUUCCUUGUUCCGGUACAAGGUGCUGAUUUUGGAAAGAAACUUUCUAAUCCUACUCUGUUUUGAUUCUAAAGUCUAUAAAUAAGCUAUAGGGGUUCUCUAAUUGAUUAAGCAUCACGAAAAUACAUAUUUGAGAAACCCUAGAGGCUCGGAUUUCAUCAAAAACCUAUUUUCUACAAAAAGCCUCUUUUAGAUCAAAUCGAGAUAUUGAAAUUUGAUAUUAAUAUGUCGAUUUGAUCUCCGCUUCGCUUGGAGUUCUAUUCCCUGGUUUUCUACAAUACUCCAAAGCGAAGGAUCACCAUAUUCAUGAUAUUCUUCAUGGUGGCGUCGUGGAUUCGGCGUAUUUGACGGCGGUUCGUGGAUUCGGAUCGUGGGCUCGUGGAUUCGAGUGGCGUCGUGGAUUCGGCGUGAUUGAAGCUUCGUGGAUUCGAAGUGGAGGCGUUCGUGGAUUCGAACGUGAGGGCGUGGACAACCCGGAGGGUAGCGCGAAGAUUCAUAGGAGGUUAAGAGAGGUUGAGUCCGUGGAGUCGGUAAUCACCUUGUAAUCUUUUCUCUUAGUGAAUUAUUUUUUCGCGUGUUGGUCCCGUGGGUUUUUCUCCAAGUUGGAGUUUUCCCACGUAAAUCUCGGUGUGCUUUUUAUUUUCCGCAUUUAUUUUUAUUGCAUCGAGAUUUGUGGUUUUUGGCCGUUCACCUAUUCACCCCCCUCUAGGUGAUAGAUACAAUCUAGAUAGAUCCUUGGGCUCCUCAAAACUUUCAAUUGGUAUCAGAGCGGGAUCUAGAUAAAUUGUUUUCUAAUGGCCGAAGGCGGUAACGUUAAUCGACCACCACUCUUCGAUGGCACGAAUUAUGCCUAUUGGAAAGUUCGCAUGAGAGCUUUUCUAAUUGCAAUCGAUGAGCGUGUUUGGAAAGCUAUUGAAUUUGGUUGGGAGCACCCUACCGAAGUUGUCAAUAACGCUACCGUUCCUAAACCACGGAACAAGUGGACAAAAGAUGAAAACGAGUCAUCUUCGUUUAACGGUAAAGGAAUUAAUGCUUUAUUCAACGCUUUAUCGCAAACGGAGUUUACUCGGGUUUCGGCAUGCGAAACGGCAAAGGAAAUUUGGGAUACUCUACAAGUUACGCAUGAAGGAACAAGCUUAGUAAAGGUCCAAAAAUUGCAAAUGCUAACUAGCAAGUUUGAUUCAAUUUCUAUGGACGAAAAUGAGACCUUUACCGAGUACUAUACGCGUCUACAAGACGUUGUGAAUACAUGUGCUAACUUGGGAGAGAAAAUCCCGGAUUCAAAGGUUAUUAGGAAAAUUCUUCGAACUCUUCCGGAACGCUUUCGGGCAAAGGUUGCCGCGAUCGAAACGGUUAAGCAUCCGGACGAGAUGAAAGUCGAAGAAUUAGUAGGCGCUUUACAAACGUAUGAGAUGACUUUUCCUACUAAUCCAUCUUCUUCCAAGUCUUUCUCUAAAAGUACAGGGGUUGCGUUGAAAUCGACAAAAGAGGAAGACGGAGACUCGGAUUCCGACGGAGAUGUUUCUCUUGCCGACUUCGAACAUCAACUUGCACUUCUAACGAAGAAGUUUCGUCGGAAUUUCCGAAAGAAGAACAACUCGGACAAGGCUUCAUCAUCUAAGCGACAAUCUUUUUCUAAAUCUUCUACAUCUAAAGAGAAGAAGCGUGCAAAGGCUUCGAAAGAAAAGGAUGAAUUUGAAGGCGAAAUCCGAUGUUUCAAGUGCAAAGGCUACGGUCACAUAGCUACGGAUUGUCCCUCAAAGAAAUCAUAUACUAAGAAGGCAAUGCAAGCAAAGACGUGGGAUGAUACAACUUCGAGUGAUUCAAGCUCGAGUAACGAAGAAAAGAAUGGAAACCUUGCCCUAUUUGCUACAUCUACCUUACCUUCGUCUAACGUUGUGUGUUUAUCCUCUAUUGCUACUAAUUCCAAUAUUUCUUUUUCUUCACAUGACUCUUCGAGCAACAAUGGCGAAAGUGAGGAGGAAUCAAACGACGACGACAUAGCGGAAGCGUAUAAUAAACUUCUCAUUGAAUCAAAGAAGAUGACUAAGUUGAAUAAGAAGUUGAGACGUCGUUUGUUGGAUCUUGAGGAGGAAAACAACAACGCAAAGACUUUGAAUGAGGCUCUUGAGGAAGAAAGGGAUUCAAGCUUGAAGAAUAAUUCGGACCUCUAAGAGAAGCUUAAUGAAGUGGAAUUAACGAUCAAAUCAUAUAAAUACAAGGUUGGAUUUUUGGAGCAACAAUUCAAGGAAUCGCACACAUCCAACAAGUCACUGACCAAUCAAGUUCGUCAACUUCAAUCCGACAUUCAACGAUUUUCUUCCGGAUCAAAGAAACUAGAUCAUAUGCUCGGAUUGGGUCAAAUGAACAAGCUUGGACUCGGAUAUGAACGCACAUACGUUGAGAAGGAUUCAAUAUCAACUUCUAAAGUCUCAACAACUUCGAAAGAGAAAGUGUGUCAUAAAUGUGGCAAGAAAGGACACAUUAAAAGGAAUUGCCCAAAUAAGGAAAAGAAGAAUCAAUCGGCAAUGUCUAAACCUCAAACGACAUCAUCUACAACUCGACUUCCCCCGCGGAAUCAUAAGAAAAAUCAAGUUAGUCGAGUACCUCAAAAGAACCGGACUUCUAAUGCACAACGCCAAGUUCAUGCAAACCGGGUGCAUAAGCCUCAACGACAAAUUCAACCAAAGCCUCAACCGAAGAAACCACCAACGGUCGAUCAUAAAUCUAAACAAACGGCACCAAACGUCGAAAAGCCAAGAAAACCAAAAAUCUGACAAGUUUGGAUCCGGAAAGGUGAUAUCUUUCCUUGCUCCUCGUCUUAGUCAUUUUUGAUCUUUAGUGUAAUGCUUUGAUUGGUGCUUGUUGCAUAAUUUUAUUCAUUGCAUUAUAUGUUUGAAUGAUUUUUGGUGCAUUAAAUUUUUGUUUAUUUAUAAAUCAUUUUGAGAAAAGAUGUUUAGGAAUUUAAAAUUUUCGAGAAAAGAGAUGAUUGAGAUCUAUGAUUUUGGAGAGAGAUGUAAUCACUUGACUACGCUUAUGUUUUUCUAGUAUGUUUUCUCUCUCUAUUUGCGUUCUUUUAGCAAUUUUUGACAAAAAGGGGGAGAGCGUAGAUGAAGGGGGAGAGCAUGGAUGAACAGGCAUUGAACUAAAGCAGAGGAUGAUGUGUUCAAGACCAAAGGGGGAGAUGUGAACAAAGACAGAGAAGGUAUAAGAAUUUAGUGCUAAUCAUCUUUGAAUGAAUUGUUUUGCAGGAAAUCAAGACUUCAAGACUCCUAGUUGCGUCUAAGUCAUAGAGUUUGUUUUAGGAGUUUUUGAUGUAAUUUUGAUUCUCAAUUUGUAUUUGGACUACAUGCGAGGGGUUCGAUGUUUUGGUGAUGACAUUGAACUUCGUUUUUUCUUUAAAUUAUAAUUUGUGAGUUUGUGUGUGUUUUGUCACAAAAUUGCCAAAGGGGGAGAUUGUUAGGUCCUAUAUGUUGGCAAGUUUUGUGGGUCGAGUCGGAGUCUUAAAGAAGUUCGGAGCGGAGUAUUGAAGAUCGAAGAAUCCAAGACUUCGAAGAAUCGGAAAGGACGCAAAACACGUAAAACAUGAAUCACGAUGCUUAGGUAAGCUUUAAAUCAUGUUUAUGGUGAUUCAUACUUAAUUAUAGAUUUUAGAAUCAUGUUUUCAAGUUGUAAUUGAUUAGAAAGUUUCUAAGAGCUUGUAUAACUCGAAACAAUGCAUUUUCAGAGAAAAUUGCAUUGUUGUACCGGUACAAGGGUUUUCUGUCCAGGGUACAGACAUCAGCGUUUGUGCAAAAAUGUUUGAUGGUUGUUCCGGUACAACCAUCACGGCUGUACCGGUACAAGCCCUGUUCCGGAACAAGCUGCAACCUGUUCAGGGUACAGAAGCUUCGCAGAAAAAUCUUCCGUCAUGCUGUACCCUGGACAGCUUUCCUUGUUCCGGUAUAAGGUGUUGUUUUUGGAAAGAAACUUUCUAAUCCUACUCCGUUUUGAUUCUAAAGUCUAUAAAUAAGCUAUAGGGGUUCUCUAACUGAUUAAGCUUGAUAAGAAUACAUGUUUGAGAAACCCUAGAGGCUCGGAUUUCAUUCUAAACCUAUUUCUACAAAUUAGCCUCUUUAGAUCAAAUCGAGAUAACGUUUCGCAUUCGCUAUAUGUCGAUUUGAUCUAGUUUUCGCUUGGAGUUUUCUUCCUUGGUUUUCUACGAUACUCCUAAGCGAAGGAUCACCAUAAUCAUGAUGCUCUUCAUGAACGGCGUCGUGGAUUCGGCGUGAACAAAGGCGGUUCGUGGAUUCGGAUCGUUGGCUCGUGGAUUCGAGUGGCGUCGUGGAUUCGGCGUGAUUGAAGCUUCGUGGAUUCGAAGUGGAGGCGUUCGUGGAUUCGAACGUGAGGGCGUGGACAACCCGGAGGGUAGCGCGAAGAUUCAUAGGAGGUUAAGAGAGGUUGAGUCCGUGGAGUCGGUAAUCACCUUGUAAUCUUUUCUCUUAGUGAAUUAUUUUUUCGCGUGUUGGUCCCGUGGGUUUUUCUCCAAGUUGGAGUUUUCCCACGUAAAUCUCGGUGUGCUUUUUAUUUUCCGCAUUUAUUUUUAUUGCAUCGAGAUUUGUGGUUUUUGGCCGUUCACCUAUUCACCCCCCUCUAGGUGAUAGAUACAAUCUAGAUAGAUCCUUGGGCUCCUCAAAACUUUCAUGAUUUACUCCCGUAGUGAUGUUGAGCAUGAGAAGCACUUGAGGAUUGUGCUACAGCUUCAGCGAGAGAAGAAGCUGUAUGCCAAGUUAAAGAAGUGCGAGUUUUGGUUGCGGGAAGUUGCUUUCUUGGGCCACGUGAUUUCUGCAGAGGGAGCAGCAGUAGAUCCGAAGAAGAUUGAUGCUAUUCGGGAUUUGCCCAGACCAACGACGGUGACUGAGUUGCGGAGUUUUCUCGGACUAGCAGGAUAUUACCAUCAGUUUGUGAAGGGCUUUGCGAAGCUUUCCACACCCCUUACCAGGUUGAAACGGAAGGGGAUUCGAUUUGUUUGGUGUGAGGACUGCCAGAGGAGGUUCGACGAGUUGAGACAGAGAUUGAUGACAGCUCCUAUCCUUGCCCUUCCUGUGAUGGGGGAAGGAUUUGUGAUCUAUAGUGAUGCAUCGCACAACGGACUGGGUUGUGUGUUGAUGCAGCAUGGUAAGGUGAUUGCUUAUGCGUCACGGCAGUAAAAGGAUUAUGAGAAGAAUUACCCUACUCAUGAUUUGGAGCUUGCCGCAGUAGUCUUUGCUUUGAAGUUGUGGCGACAUUACUUGUACGGCGAGCACUGCGAGGUUUUCACCGAUCACAAAAGUCUCAAGUAUCUGUUCACUCAAAAGGAAUUGAAUCUGAGGCAGCGCCGGUGGUUGGAGUUACUGAAAGACUAUGAUAUUAGUAUUCAAUAUCAUCCUGGUAGGGCGAAUGUAGUGGCAGAUGCGUUGAGCAGGAGGGCAGCGCAGAGCUUGAGCUUGUUGAUCACUCAGCAGAGACCGCUACUUGAGGAGCUACAGCGGCUGAAGCUUCAGGUGGUGUCCCCUGGGUCUACUGCAAGACUGAUGUCUCUGGUCUUGCAGCCCACUCUGUUGGAUAGGAUCCGGGAGAAACAGAGUGGAGAUCCGUACUUGUUGAGGAUUAGAGAGCAGCUAGACAGGGGGCAGGCUGAGGGAUUUGCCUUGGACAGUUCGGGAGUACUGCGGUACAAGGACCGACUGUGUGUGCCUGUAGAUUUAGAGAUUCGAGAGGACAUCUUGAGGGAGGCUCAUUGUACACCUUAUACGGUUCAUCCUGGGGGAACCAAGAUGUAUAAGGAUUUGAAUGCACAGUUUUGGUGGAAUGGGAUGAAGAGGGACAUUGGCAGAUUUGUAGCUCAGUGUCUCACUUGUCAACAGGUAAAGGUCGAGCGUCAGGUACCUGCUGGCAAGCUUCAGAGUCUGCCAGUGCCCGAGUGGAAAUGGGAGUAUAUCACUAUGGACUUCGUUGUGGGAUUGCCUAGAGCGCAGGGUGGCUACGAUGUGAUUUGAGUGAUAGUGGACAGACUGACCAAGUCUGCUCACUUCUUACCGGUUCAGAUCACCCGGUCCAAAGAAAGACUCGCGCAGUUUUAUUUGGAUGAGAUCGUCAGACUACAUGGUGUGCCAGUAUUGAUUGUAUCAGACCGAGACCCGAGGUUUGUGUCGCAUUUAUGGAGGAGUUUACAGACAGCUUUGGGGACUCAGUUAUAUUUCAGCACAGCAUUUCACCCACAGACGGAUGGUUAGUCGGAGCGGACCAUUCAGACUCUAGAGGACAUGUUGAGGGCGCGUGUCCUGAACUUCGGAGGAGGGUGGUAUCGACACUUGAGACUGGCAAAGUUUGCGUAUAACAACAGCUAUCAAACAAGCAUUCAGAUGGCUCCAUUUGAGGCGUUGUAUGGACGCAGGUGUCGAUCCCCGUUGUUUUGGAGUAAUGUGGGUGAGAAGAAGACACUUGGGCCUAAGAUUUUGCUAGAGGCUGAGAAAAAGGUGAGAGUUGUUCGACGACACCUUUUAACAGCCCAAAGCCGCCAGAGGAGCUACGCCGAUACCAGGAGACGAGAUUUGGAGUUCCAGGUUGGAGAUCAUGUUUUUCUUAAAGUCUCGCCGUCCAAAGGGAUUCGCCGAUUUGGAGUGCGUGGAAAGCUCAGUUCACGUUUCGUUGGCCCUUUUGAGAUAUUGGAGCUAGUUGGACCAAUUGCCUCAGGAUUGCUCUAUCACCCUGACUAGCUGGGAUUCAUAAUGUGUUCCACGUCUCGGCGCUGAGGAGAUAUGUUUUCGAUCCAGCUCAUGUGAUUGACUUUACUCUACUAGAGAUUGGCGAGAAUCUGAGAUACGAGGAGUGACCGAUGCGGAUUCUUGCUCGUGAGACGAAAGAAUUGCGCAACCAGGUCAUCUCGUAUGUGAAAGUGCAGUGGAGCAACCACGAGGAGUAAGAGGCGACUUGGGAGCCCGAGAUGUGAUGAGGGAGUCCUACCCCGACCUGUUUGUUUCUCCGUGUUGAGGUAUGUUUUAAGUUUUGAGGACGAAACUUUUUGUAGUGGAGGAGGAUGUAGUAUCCUUAUUUUUUAUUAUUAUUAUUAUUAUUAUUAUUAUUAUUAUUAUUUUAUUUUUAUUUGGUAUAAAAUAGAUUUGCCUUUGGGGGAUAUGGAUGCCACGUGCAUCAAUUUCCUUCCCCCUCUCCCAUGCAUACCUAUCAACUUAAGUACAGAGGGUGUGCAUGCACUUCAUCAAUUAAUUCUCUCUUUCGUUUCGGCCGAAGCAACGACGAGCUCGGGGAGUUGCCGCGAGCCGAUUUCGACACCAACGACGCGCCGCGGAGCCGUUCGAGGGUACGGUUGCAGUCGUAGCGUCGCAGGGAGUUUAGGCGAGGGCGUGUUUUCGCCGUUCUCGACGUCGCCCCGCGUUGGAUUUAGCAUACGAGGUGGGUUUAUCAUCGGAUUUCUACUCCUAUAACCUUGUUAGUCAACAUGUAUAGUUAGGAUAUCUGCGUUGGUACUGUUUAGCUCAGAUUUAUGUUUAUGCAUUGUUUUAGGCCUAUAUAUUGAAUUGUGAGCAUGUUACUGUUUGUUAUUAAUUAUACAUAUUGGACUUGGAUAAAAUAUAGGAGAAAAUCAGUGUUCGGAACCUGUCAUAUGUUAAACUACCUGAUUUAGCCUUAGGGGCCGUUGUUCUUUUAUACAGUUGUAGUGUUCUUGUGGUGAGUAUCUCAGGUAGUCUAAUUUACUGUUAUACUCGUGCUGGGAUGCCGAAUCUAUUUUUACAGUAGUGUUUAGACUGUUCCGGACUAGUGGGUGCCGUCGCGGUUGACGGUGGACCCGAAUUUGGUCAUUUUGAGAUCCGAUUAUGCCGAGGGCACGUGACUAGUGGUUAGUAGUCAAUUGGACUUAUUUUUUUGACUUUAGUCUGUGAGAGUCUGAUUGAGCUCGAUAGAGAUACGCUUGCAUACUUGGUUGGGUCGCACCUACGAGUUGCCGCUUCGGAGUCUGGUUUUGUACUUUCGCGUUGAUGUCGCUAUUUUGUUUUGCUAUCCACGGACUGCUUAGUGUGGAGGUAGC